rnacentral:lncRNA from 1 species
UUUUUGCUUGUUUUAUUUUUUGGAGUCCACGUCUAAGUGAAAUAUGGCACUUGUCUUUCUCUGACUUGUUUCACUUAGUCUAAGAUCUUCUAGAUCCAUCCAUGUUGUCCCCAGUGGCAAGAUUUCAUUCUUUUUUUUUUUUUUUACGGCUAAUAUUCCAUUGUGUGUACAAAUAUUUCUUUUAAAUGCCAGGCCUCAUGGUUCAUGGCCGCAUUCUGCUUGGACCAGGUACAGAAGUAGCAAACAGUUCACACGAUUUUCAGGUCUUCUAGGCCCUGGCCAGCAAUCAAACAUAGGCCUGGGGGGGGGCGCUUUGUUCAUUCUGUUUGGGGAUGGCAAUAUUAAAACAAAACACUUCGCAGUCCCAGCUCCAUUCAUCAAUAGUCAUUUUAGGUGAAUUUGUCAUGAGGUAUCUAAACAUCUACGUUCGGGUGUUUUCCAAAAUAAUGCACUUGCCCCGUGAUUUUAAGGAAGGAGACAACUAAAACAGCAGCAGCAGCAGCAGCAGGAAAAACAACUCUAGCUUAUGCUCAGGUGGUAGAGAGGAGUUAAGCUUUAUUCUGGGAUUUCUCCUACUGAGCCUACUAAGUCUACUCAAAUAAAUGAAGCAGGGAGGAUGAUGGCUCCAUCCCAGAAGUGGUCUGUCUCAACCUGGGGUCGGGCUGCUCCAGCCCUCGUUUCUCACAAAGGAAUCCCUCCCACCUACACCAGUUUCUAGGACCAACCCUAACCCUAGUGGAGAUGUGUGGGGACUUUUGGGGCAACCCCCUGGGGCCCCACCCAAGUCUCCCCAGAAUGCCAGCUCAGCCCUGACUUCCUGCCCCAGCUCCCCUACCUACACUUGCGUUCUUUCUUGUUCCUUAGCCCUCAGGUCUGAAGCUCACUGGACCCCUGGCUGCCUCUCCCUCCCCCAAGCACCUGGACCUGCCAUCCCUUGAACCCCAUUCCCUAGCACCGGGACUCUGUCCCUGAUACUGCCACUUCUGGCAAUAUUCCCCAAUUUUACCUGCUUCAACUUCCCAUUGCAACCCAUCACCCCAAGGGGACACCCCAAGCCUCCAGCCUUCCCUCGGCCCUUCCAUCGUAUCUGGCAGGCGGGCUCCCACCCAGGGCAAGUCUCUUGCACUCCUCCUGGGCCUGGCAGGGCCCUGAGAUACAAGACCAGCAGCUCCUCAACCAACCCUCUGCAUUUCAGACCAUGUUCUUAUUUAAACGCCCCCGUCUGAGCCUAAAAUCCAUUUACUGGUGGAGACAGAGCUAGUGAAUGGCUGUCCUCAUGAACAACCCCUAUUUCCUUGAGGUCGGCCAGCGGCUUGCACACAGCAACCCAUUAAUUGCCCUGCAGACAUCAUGAUGCAGCAAAUUUCACUCUUUUCACACACAGAUGAGACACCAAGGAUCCUGCUCUAGUAAGAACCGGGCCUAAGUUCCCUUGGCAAGACGGGAGCAAAACGAGGACUAACUCAGUCUGCUGGCUUCGUCCUGACAGUACGAACCCCCCUGGGGGCAACCACGUUUCUCUUGCCGAGUUAUGUCAGGCACCCAGCCCGGGAUGGCCGAGCCCCACUUCUGGCCAAGCUGGGGCUCCCUGGGUCCCAGCCACCUGCACGCACAACGCCAGAGCCCCCGCGUGCCCGGCCCCGUGCAUACGAGGGGCCGCCGUAUGCACUUGCCCAAAUUCCCAACUCAGUACUUCUGAUAAAACUGAUCGUUUCAAAUAAAACUGGAAGGGGGGGAUCCCUGGGUGGCUCAGCGGUUCAGCGCCUGCCUUUGGCCCAGGGCGUGAUCCUGGGGUCCUGGGAUCGAGUCCUGCGUCGGGCUCCCUGCAUGGAGCCUGCUUCUCCCUCUGCCUGGGUCUCUGCCUCUCUCUCUCUCUCUCUCUCUCUCUCUCUCUCUCUCUGUCUAUCAUAAAUAAAUAAAUAAAAUCUUAAAAAAAAAACAAAACUGGAAGGCCUUUCGCACUUCCCACUGGUACCAUCGAGGCUUCUUGGUUUCAGGCUCAGGAGAUGCCAGUCGUCAACAGAGCGCGAGAGAGGGUGGUUUGGUGCUAAUCCGACCUCUGAGCUGCUUCCGAGGUGCGGCGGAGCUCUUGGACACCCCGCGAGGCCGUCACCGGGGACACACAGCCAGCAGGUCUGGAAAGAUCGGGGGGCUGCCUCUCUGUCCAGGGCGGUGAAUGCAGCCCCUCUGCAAAGGAGCUUAAAGCUGUGGUGUGAAUGAGUAGCAAUCCACCUGUGUGCGUGUGUGUGCGUGUGUGUGCGUGUGUCUAGGGGUAUCAAAGAGGGUCUCCAGGGCAGCCCGGGUGGCUCAGUGGUUUAGCACCACCUUCAGCCCAGGGUGUGAUCCUGGAGACCCGGGAUUGAGUCCCAAGUGAGGCUUCCUGCAUGUAGCCUGCUCCUCCCUCUGCCUGUGUCUCUGCCUCUAAUGAAUAAAUAAAUAAAAUCUUUAAAAAGGGAUGCCUAGGUGGCUCAUUGGUUGAGCGUCUGCCUUUGGCUCAGGGCACAUGAUCCUGGGGUUCUGGGAUGGAGUCCCAUAUCGUGCUCCCCGCAGGGAGCCUGCUUCUCCCUCUACCUGUGUUUCUGUGUCUCUUGUGAAUAAAUAAAUAGAAUAUUUUUAAAAAUAAAUAAAUAAAAUAAAAUCUUUAAAAACAAAAACAAAAACAAAGAAAGUCUCCAAAAAGCGUAUGCACAGGUCCUAGUCCCCUGUACCUGAGACUGUGGCCUUGCUGGGAAGUAGGGCCGGUGUACAGGUAGUUCGCUAAGACGAGGUCAUACUACUGGGAGGGCCUUCAAUCCAACACCACUCAUGUGCUGUCAGGAGAAGAGGAGACACCUGAGGAAAGGGGGUCAUAAGACGACACAGGCAGAGAGUAGGUGCAUCUGCAAGCCAAGGGCCGCCAGCAACACCAGGAGCUGGAAGAGGCAAGGAAGGAUCCUCCCCUACAGGUUUUGGGGGGGGCGUCACCUGCUGACACCUUGAAUUCAGACAUCCAGCUGCCAGAGCCGUCAGAGAAAUAAAUUUCUGUUGUCCUAAGCUACACGAUUCCUUGUAUUUUGUUAGGGCAGCCCUGGGAAAUUAAUAUAAGGUAGAAAUGAAGAACUGAGGAGUCACAAAUACCUCCUCUUCUUUUAAAGAUUUUAUUUAUUGGAAUGCCGGGGUGGAUCAGCAGCAGAGCCCCUGCCUUUGGCUCAGGGCGUGAUCCCCGUCCAGGGAUUGAGUCCCGCAUCAGGUUUCCUGCGAGGAGUCUGCUUCUCCCUCCAGGUCUCUGCCUCUCUGUGUCUCUCAUGAACAAAUAAAUAAAAUUUAAAAAAAAAAAAAGAUUUUAUUUAUUUAUUUGACAGAGAGAGAGAGAGAGAGAGAGAGUGCACGUGCAGGGGGAGAAGCAGAGGGAGAGGGAGCAGCAAACUCCCAGCUGAGCAGGGAGCCCAUGGGGGGCUUGAUCCCAGGACCUGGGAUCAUGACCUGAGCGAAAGGCAGAUGCUUCACUGACUGAGCCACCCAGGAGCCCCACAAAAUCCUCUUGAUUUGGAAGCAGCACCAACUAAGAAAGAGAAAAUAUAUCUGUGAAACCUCUUCUGCCCACCUCAUGGAAAUGGAGGAAGAAAGACAAGGCCCUGAGUCCCUCAGAGGAACCUUCCCUCCCCUAAGAAGUGAGACCUAAUCAGAUCCUGAGGGGAGGGGAGGAAGGAGGAAAUCCUGUUUCCUCCAUCCUGAGCCUUUUAGCACCUCUCUGCCUCCCAUACUAUAAAAGGUACUAGACAGGUGUUUUCACAUCCAUGAUCUCAUUUAAUGGUCACGACCAUCUGUGUGACAGAGAAAGAGGGCAGGUAUUAUCAUCCCCAUUUUACACACAAGAAAACUGAGGCUCAGACGAGGUCACGGGCUGCCCAUGGACAAGAUGACCCUUCCAAAAAGAACUUGAGUGGACAAAGCAGAUUUUCAAAGGAGGUGAGAUGGGAGUGAAAUCCCAUCUGAAAAAAAAACCACCACCAACAACAACAGUAACAAGUUAAACAAAAGUGCUAGACACCUUCCGUGUCCAAACCAAAUCAAAGGGGCCUUGAUGCGCAGCCCCUUUACCUUUUUCUGAAGGUAGCGGCGUUCACGCAACGUGGAUGGAGACACAAUCUGCCAAUUCUCUAGCCAGCUUUUGACAUUCAAGUAUCUUUGAGUAAAAAAAAAAACAAAAACAAAAACAAAAAACAAAAAACAAACAAACCUGAACGUGUCUUCCAGGCCCGGGAUAUAAGGAGUCUGCGUCCCUCUCCCCGUGUGCUCUACACUCCUCAAGCACUUGCUGUGUCACCACGCGGCUCCCGCCCAGUGGUCACCUGCACCGGGACGUGCUCUCCUGGAGCUGGACUCGAGGGUCCGAGAGGCUGGAGCUCUCCCAGGCUGUGUUCAACGGCCCCGAUGACCAAGGGGGCUAUCCCAAGAGACGGCAGGUGUCCCGGGAGAGGACGGGACAGAGAGGGUUAAGCUGGAAAGCACUGGAGAUAAGGACUCUGGGCGGAGAGCUGGGACUCUAAUCAGCUGCCUUUUCCAAAUAUUUUAAUCUUUCCCCUCUGGAAAACACCCAGUCGCUGGCCACCGAGAACACUCGAUUUCUUCUUUGCAGCCAAGAUCUCAGGCACACGGGCCCCGGGACCAGCCACCAACCCCUCCGGGGUGGGGACGCCAAGCCGCGAAAUGUCAGUCCACAUUUUGUCAGCUUGAAAAUAUUAAACACCACUGAACAAAAUGUAAGGUUUCUUUUUCAGACUUAAACGUCUACUUAUUUCAAAAUGAAUUAGUGGUUCUCUGGGUUUCAUAAUGUUUAAUUCAUUAAUGAUAACUACAGCUCGAGAAUUUGAAAGGAAAUUGCUUCCAGGAUAAAAUUAAAUGCGAAACUCUAAGCAGUGAUUCAUGGCUGUUCCUAUCUAAAUUACUAAUCCGUGUGACAAACCUGGUUGGCAGCACAAAAAAAGCAAUACUAUUUCCCCCCGUUGCCUUUAUAGACUUUGCUGAAUUGUUUUUGCAAACUGCCUAAACCCAAGUCCUAGAUAAUCCCCUGCUGGCAGCCUCCAUUCCAGAGUGGGGUUCCGUACCCAGAGUCCCCGCUGCCUCGGAGAGGCUCCUAAUGGACUAAUACUUUCGUGUCUCGGAAAAGAGUUUUCUCAACAUUAAGGUUUAGACGUAUAAUCCAAUGGAUUUCCAAAGAAACUCAUUUUAAAUUAAAGGCAAAUAUCCCCAUGAUAUCUGUCCACAUCUCCCCGAAGAAACCCGCAUAAAACUAAAAAUGGCAAUUUUCUUUUAGUUUGCAAGGCAGCCUAGCCAGCUGAGAUCCAAUUACGUAUCUACCCGUUAGAACAACUGGGGCACUAGAGUCACCGUGUCGCCCAAAAGACAAGAUAAUAGAAGGCUUCUGAAGUUGCAUCAAGCCCAAGCUCCUCGGCCUCCUGAAAUUUCUCUUGUGUCUCUUCCUGCCACCACCGCCCAGCAGGCCAGGCUCACGACGUGGGGUACAGAGGAGAAGCAGGCAAGGAUACUGCUGACCACACACAGCCCCCCUCCAAAAGAACUCAGGCGACCAGCAUCCCCCAGGGCACAUCUCUGCAAACUGCUGCCAGACUAUCACAUAAAAGCCCUGCAAACCAGGUCCCCCGUCUCCUGGCUGUGUCGCACGCCAACCAUCCUGUGCGCUGCUCCUCCGUGGCAGGUCACAUCCCCACCAGCCCUCAGGGGUGCGAUUCCGUGCCAGGAAUUUACAUAUGGUGACUCCUUUAUCCUUGGGACAACUUGGGGAAGGUGUCCUCAUUGUCCUCAUAUUGCAGAGCAAGAGAUGGUGGCAAAGACGUUCAAAAUACCUGCCCAAGUUCCAGAGCAAGUAGCUGGCAGAGCCAGGAUUCACACCCACACUUUCUGCCCAAUUUCCCAGGCUUUGAGCCAUCUGAUGGGGCCACAGCACAGCUCGGAAUAUUCUACUCACUCCCUACUACCAAGGGAGCAGGGCCCAUACGGCCGCCAGGCUCUAUGGGUCCUUUGGGGAUUCGGCUACAUUUCCAGCUUCGUCUCCAGCUACCUCCCAUUCCACCUUUUCCAAUCUAUGGCACAUGCUCUUCCCUCCACCUCUUCUCCGGGACAGCUGCCAAGUCUCCCUUUGGGGUCUCUACUCCCCGCCUUUAUGCUCCUGGAGUGCCAAGCUCAUUCCUUCGGCUUCCUACUGACGCUGGGGGUGCACGUUCCUCUCCCAGCCACAGCUCUGGCUUUUCUCCGACCUGCCCCCUGGGUUCCCACAGCUCAGCAGGGCCAUGGUGAGACGUUCUGGAACCUUUGGAACUAAUGAAUGUGCUACAGCAAAUCAACAGCAACACCUAAGGGAAAAAAAAAAAAAACCCAACAGCAGGCUCGGGGGCUUGUCCCACAAUGACUCAGGUCCCUGAAGAGGGGGGUGAGAAGGCAGGACUUUCGUGAACUUUGUAAAAGCAUAUUUUUUUUCCAAUCAAGCAUUCAAACGUUGCAACCACAUGAAGGCUAGAAAACCUAGCUAUCUGCUCGCUAGCUAGUGGCUUUCCGAAACAAGCCUGUUUUGGAUUUCAAACCAGCAAGAGAUAAUCUUCAGAAUGGGAACUCAAGAGUUACCCACUCAUGACAAAAGCAAGGAGAUGGCAAACUGAAUCCACAACUCAGACUGGUUUUUAUGGUUGCUUCUGAGCAGCAGGAGGGGGGAGGGAAGAGACAUGUGAAUUUUUUAAUUUUAAGGAAGGAGUGUGUGCACCCCCUGCAGCUCUUCUGUUGCCCCCACCAUGGGGUGAAGGGAUGUAAAGCGGGCUCGACUGCCCCUAUUCAAAGUCUUACCAGGUGGGCACCCAUUCCUGACCAUGAACUGGGCAUCACACAAACCCCAAUACCAUCAGCAAUGCAGCAUGAAAAGCGAACAGUAACUCACAGCAAUCAUUUAAAAUAUAAAAUAGGGCAGCCCCGGUGGCUCAGCGAUUUAGCAUCUGCCUUCCGCCCAGGGCCUGAUCCUGGAGACCCUGGAUCGAGUCCCACAUCGGGCUCCCUGCAUGGAGCCUACUUCUCCCUCUGCCUGUGUCUCUGCCUCUCUCUCUCUCUCUCUCUCUCUCUCUGUCUCUCAUGAAUAAAUAAAUAACAUCUUUUAAAAAUAAUAAUAAAAUAAAAUAUAAAAUAAUGCUCCUAAACUGCAUACGAUGCUUAGGAAUGUCCAAUGCACACAAACUCUCUGGGGAAUCCCGCAGUACUGUGAAAAUACACAAAAUGCACAUAAAAAUACAACUCUACUGUUAGGUAAAAUUAACCUAAAACUAGUAUGCUAGCUAAAACACAGUAAGCAUUAAAUCAGUUUUGCUCACCUUCUUAAAACUCAAUGGGCCCCAGGGGGUGGUGGCAGGUGUGAGAUUUGGAUGCGGGAGCCUCCUUAACAAAACCCAAGGAGGUUCAUGGUAAUGGGUGGAGCUGGGUUUUUGUGAUCUCUCCCCAUUUCCCUUGUGGCCAGCACAGGUGUUCAGAGGGGGCCCCCCCGCUGACUACUGCAGGGGGGCUCCAAGUGUCACUGCAGGUGUACAACACUGGGUUCAGGGGUGUUUUCCUCCCAGGGAAAAGUUGUUUUAAGAUUUUAUUUAUUUAUUUGACAGAGAACAAGAGAGCACAAGCAGGUGGAGUGGCAGAGGGAGAGGGCUGAGCAGGAAGCCCGACGUGGGACUCGAUCCCAGGACCCCGGGAUCAUGGCGUGAGCCAAAGGCAGGCGCUUAACCGACUGAGCCACCCAGGAGCCCGGGGAAAAGCAUUUUUAAAAUAUUUUCUAAUAUUUCUCUCUCCCCCCAGCUUAUUCAAGGUCUCAGACCCCACAGCUGCCCAGUGUCAGCUCAGAGAGCCCAGGAUGGAGGCCAGCAAAGCCCGAUCACCAUUAGCUGCCCCUGGAGGGCACUUAGCUGCCCUGGGCAUCCGGAAAAGCCACUUCAGGUCACAAGGAAAGGUACAGGCUUUACAAGCAACUUCGAAGUUGUCCACUAAAUGAGUGAAAAAGCAUAAAUCAGCAUUGUGCCCUGUAGUGAUGUGGAGGAAAGAGGCAGAGCAGGAAAGCCUGUAGGAAAGUCAGGAGCAGGCCUUACAAAAGCAGCUGCGUGAAAAGGUCAGUGACAUACAGGAGGCUUCGCAGGUGACUUACAGUGGGUUGAUAAAGGACUGCCUAUACCUGAGGUUCUCAGGGUUCCCGCUCUAUUUUGAUUUCCUAAAUAGAAGAACCAAAAGUUUUCACUGUUUAUAAAAAGGACAGGUCUUGCAUAAGCAUUUGAAAUUUUAGAAAAGAUUUUUUUUUUAGAACAUUCUAACACCUUGCAGGUAAUCUUUAGUUCCAUGAAUAUCUUAAGUUCUCCAUUUCUUUGUAAGUAGGACUAGCUAAAGGAAGCCCCGGUCUUCACCAUUUCAACUACCACAAAAUUCUAAUUACUGAAAUCCACAGAAAUGGGAAAUCUUGGUCUUCAAAUUUUAACUGCUAACUAUACCAUAAUGAUAGCAAGAUGAAAUGAGAAAGUUUGUAAGCAUAGGACUUCGAACAGGAAACCACGACAGUGACAGUGUAACCAGGGUUCACUAGCAGCAUUUGUAUUUUCUGGUAGAGACAUGUGUGGAGCUUGUUGACUCUGAAUUUAAACCACGGGGGAAAAAAAAAAAAAAAAAAAGAGGGCAGCCCGGGUGGCUCAGUGGUUUAGCAUCACCUUUAGCCCAGGGCGUGAUCCUGGAGACCUGGGAUCGAGUCCCACAUGGGGACCAUGGAUCGAGUCCCAAUGGAGCCUGCUUCUCCCUCUGCCUGUGUCUUCCAUUCUCUCUCUCUCUCUCUCUCUAAAAAAAAAAAAAAGAAAAGAAAGGAAACAUGGGCAAGUCUAUCAACCCAAGGAAGGCUUCAUCAUGUAUCUUGUCAUCUCGUAUCUUUCCACUGCUCCUAAAAAACCUUGCCCGGUCUUGGAAAUAAUUUGGAAAUACAGAAAUAUUGUUUUACUGGACCUCAUCUGACACUAAUCCCCUGCUUUUAGGAUUAUAAAGAGGCUGGAGUGGGGGAGUGGGGCUCAGAGCGUAGCGGGAAGCCCUGGGUGGCCAAAUGUCAUUGCAGCCAUGGCUUGGCCUACACACUCCAAAGAGAAAACAGGCUUUCCGGAUCAGUGUCUGAGGAUGGGAUUUAUCACCACGAAUACACUCACGGAUGGCAUUUUUAAAAAUCUUCAUGUCAGACAUUUCAUCUCCUCGUCUCCCACACCGCUUUUUUCUAUGAAGUGACCUCACCUGCUCGGGUUUUCUCCUGCCCAAGGAAGAAAAGCGUGCAGUGUUCUCGCGGUCAGGGCCCUUGGCCCUUGGCUCUCCACUGCCUGCUUGCUUCCCCUUCAGGAAAGACUUCCCAGCCCUGCCUUCUGCACGGCUCCAGAGCCCAGGCUGGGGUCUGUGGCUCAGCCGACGAUGACCCCAACCCCACUACUCCCUGUAGGCUUUGCUUUGGGAUGUCACUGUUCUUUCUCUCCUCCUCCUUCUUCUUCUUCUUCUUUUUUUUUUUUUUUUUAAGGAGGUAGAUAGGAGAAGAGUUCUUUUAAGGUUAACCAAAAAGGAGUAAGGACCAAAGUCCUAUUUUCCUGCCAGCAUGUUUGGAGACCUCACUUCCUCAGAUCCAAGAAAAAGAAAAGUGAAGCCAAAGUAAGGGGCCAGCUCCAUCCAAGGCAAAAACGAUCCAGGUUAAAUUGAGCGCUUCGCGGCCUGUGUCUGCG